rnacentral:tRNA from 1 species
GCCUGGCUGGCUCAGUUGGCGGAGCGUGUGACUCUCAAUCUCAGGGUUGUGAGUUUGAACCCCACAUUGGGUG